CUGAACCUGCCGAAGGAUCAUU
rnacentral:rRNA from 1 species